UUUAUAAAAAUUGCUUGUGGGUAUUAGUGAAUAUAUAAUUAAAAAAAUUAAUUUUGAUAGAUUUAGUAGAUUUUAAUAAAAUUUUAUUACUGCGAUAGAAAAAUAGUACUGUGAAGGAAAUUUUAAAAUGUAGAGUAAUAAAUAAAGUAAAUAUAAAUAAUUGUACCUUGUGUAUCAGGGAGGAUUAAAUUAGUUUAUAAAAUAUAAUAUUCCCGAAGUAAAUAAUAGUUAAUUUUUUAAGGAAGUUUACAUUGUAAAGUAAAAUUUGAAUAAAAAGUUAAAGAUGAAAUGUUAAACGAGUUUUAUUAUAUCUGGUUUGUCAAGAAAUAAAUGUAAUUUAAGGUUCAAGUUUUUGUUAUUUGAAUUCUAAGAGUAGAAGGGUUGAGCUUUUUAUUCAAAAAAUUUUAUAUAACAGCCAGUUUGUAAAUAAUAGAAUUAUUUAGGCUUAAAAGUAGCUAAAAUAAUAAAGUGUUUAAAAUAAGUUAUAUGUAAAAUAUAAAGGCUUUAAUUGUUAUUGAGAUAUUUAAAAAUUUUUUCUAAAAAGUAAUAUUGAUUUUAUUAGUAAAAGUUAAUGUUAAAGAAUAUAAAAUAAAAUAAAAGUUAAAAUAUUAAUUUGUAAAGGUGUAAAAUAGGAACUCGGCAAAUAAAAAAUUCUUGCCUGUUUAUCAAAAACAUGUCUAUUUGAAGAUAUUUAUAGUCUGGCCUGCUCCCUGAUUAAUAUUAAAGAGCCGCGGUAAUUUGACCGUGCAAAGGUAGCAUAAUCAUUAGUUUCUUAAUUGGGAACUUGUAUGAAAGGUUAGACAAAGGAAAAGCUGUCUUUGUUAUAAAAUUUGAAAUUAACUUUCAAGUGAAAAGGCUUGAAUAAGUCAGAGGGACGAUAAGACCCUAUAAAGCUUUAUAUGGAAAUAAAAUUAAACUAAAUUUAAUAUAAAAGUUAAAAUCUUUUUUUAUAUUUUAUUGGGGUGAUAUUGAUAAAAGUAAUAUUAACUGUUAAAUUUGAAUACAUGAAUAAAGGAGUUUGUAAGUAAUGAUCCUUAUUUAAAGAUUAAAAGAUUAAGUUACUUUAGGGAUAACAGCGUAAUUUUUCUUAAGAGUUCAUAUCGAAAGAAAAGAUUUCGACCUCGAUGUUGAAUUAAGAUAUCUAUAUAAAGCAGUCAUUAUAUAAGAAGGUCUGUUCGACCUUUAAAUUUUUACAUGAUUUGAGUUCAGACCGGCGUGAGCCAGGUCGGUUUCUAUCUUCUGAGAAAGGUAAACUACUUUAGUACGAAAGGAUUAAGUAGUUUUUAUAAUAAAAAAAAAUGAAAUA
rnacentral:rRNA from 1 species